UGGCCUGUUAAUGGAACCCUUCUUGCCCCCUUUUAAGAUAAGAAAAUAUGUUUACGAUUUUCGGGAUUACGAUCAUUUUGCAAGAUCACCAAAAUACGUUGUAAUUUAUACAAUACUUAAUAUAAUGUAGAUGAUGUGGUAUGUUUGUUGUCAAUGGACAAAUGUCCAUAAGAAACCAAAGGAAGUAUGUGUUAACAACCAUACGUCAUCG
rnacentral:lncRNA from 1 species